CAGAAAUGAAUAAAUCUUUACUCUGUAAACCAAUUCUGUAGAAGAAAGAUUUCAUGGUGUCAUUGGGCUGAGCAGUAAUAGCUACUUCUUUUCUAUGUCUUGAAGGCUCAACAGCUGGUAGAUUUGCUUUGACUUUCAGCAAUUUGCCUCUUUCAAGUAAAUAUCACUUUCCCAGGGUACCAAAUGAGCAUUGAGCAAACACAGACACAAAGCAAAAGCCAAAACUCACAAACAAACAGUAUUUGCAUGUUUCAGAAAUGCUGUAUGUUUUAAAAGUAUGUGAUAACAUAAAUAUUUUGCAGUGAUUUCAUAGUAUUGAAAGCUUCUAAAAGGAACUGGGGAAGUUUUGAAGUACUGCCUCUGGAUACAACUUUAUUCUUGAAGCAACUUACUGCUUUUCAGCAAGAAAUUCAUCUGUUCAACUGUUCUGCUGUUUGUUCCCAGACCGGUAAGUAGCAGCUGGACCUAAUGUGGGCCUUUCUCAUACUGAAAAAUACACCUGCUUUCACGCAGUCAGAGAGGCAACAUUAAUACUCUACUGCAGCCAGGAACAUACGUAUGAGCUACCAAUUAGGAAACCUUUCAAAGUGUGGCUUUGCAGCCCAUCUGUGAUCUGCAGACCUCAGCUUGGGAACCAUUAUUCUCCACUAACGGCACCUGGGGAACAGGAGGGAAGGAAAACCAUGGGGCUUGGGAGAACAAAGUCUAUUAAAUACUAUGGCAACAGUUGUAAGGAAUAGCAUAGCUGUCCUGCAAAAACGAAGCCUGAAAAUACCAUCAGCCUCUGCUGCAAACACCAGCGUCUGUCAUACACCAGAACAAAAGCAAGUGCUUCAUUUGUACUGUGAGAGGGAUUUGCAGCCUCCCAUGCUGCAGCUGUCCCUGCUUGAGAAUUGUGAGAAGAAAAGAGAAACAGUGAUGGCUGCAGAGACAAGAAGCACCAGACGGGACAAACCAGUCUUGCAUGCACAGCCCCAAGAGAAGCAAUUGGAGAGAGCCUUAUGGCCAAACAGAAACAGAAGUUCUCCUGAUGUCCUCUGAAGAGCAUCUCUCCAGGGGAUCAUUGUUCAGCCUGAGCUCCUUCCCAGGAGUGAGUGAUCACAGCUGACAAUUUGGGACCUUCCUGAGGAGUAAGGCUGAGGUAUUUCAGAUGCACUUUGGAUGGACCUGAAGAGGAGGUUUAUUCCUCUUUAAAAACCAAUGUUUUUGAAUAUAUUUGGAAACUUUUUCUUAAGCAUUCAACUAACUGACUUAAAAUGGAAGAGCCAGUAGCUAUUUGACACUUGGGCCGCUCUCUUCUCACUGAUGACAGGUGACAGGAUGAGGGGAAAUGGCCUCACAUUGCACCAGUAUCAGUUUAGGCUGGAUAUCAGGAAACACUUCUUUAUGUAAAGGGUGGUUAAGCAUUGGAAUGGGCUCCCCAUGGAGGUGGUUAAGUCACCAUCUCUGAAUGUGUUUAAAACCUGGAUGUGGUGCUCAGGGACAUGAUUGACUGGAGGGUUGUUAAGAGCUAGGGUACAAUGGUUGGGUUAUGGUUUGACUUGAUGAUCUUUAAGGUCUGUUCCAACCUGAGCAAUUAUAUGAUUCUAUGAUCCUCAGGUAUGUGUUAGUGCUUUGAGGCAGGCAGUUUGUAUUGCUUUUUGAAGGGUGGGCACACGGCAACCUUUGAGAUUGCUUUUGUUGGCCAACACAGCACAUCAGAAAUGACUGCAUAUAUUGUUCCCGCAGUGCAUCCGGGGUAUCUCAUUUCUAUCCAUACUGUGAGCCAUGUGGACUGUCAGCAAGAAUGAUGUUUGUCCCAAAAACUUACACACCUGCUAGAAAGGACCUUCUGCCUGUCCUGUCCACAAGUGGUCUGCAACAUGCUCAUCUGUGACACUCAUGUAGCUGGAACGAAUGGCUCAGAUGCUGAAUGUUGCCAGUGUCCACACUGACCUCCUUUUAUAGAUGCAGAUGAGCAAAAUGAGGCUUGCAAACCAAAGGAAGAUGGACGACAUGGGAAGCAGGACAAUCAAAAAUAUCUCACACAGCGAAGUGUUGAAUAUACAAUUGCCACAGAGCCAAGUGACUAGCUGAUUUCUCUAACUUUUCAGCUGGUAUCAGCCAUACUUGCAUAUAGUUGCUUGAAGUGCCUUCAAUUAAGAUCAAGUCAUUUGCCAGACUUGGGAUGAUGAACACUGAGAUGCUUAUUGCAGAAUGCAAAAUGAAGCCAGAUGGCUUCUGGUUCAGGAAAUACAUUGCCUUCUGGUUCCCAAGUCUGGAUUGCGACCUAUGCACUCUCGGCAAGGUAGCCACAUUAGACAAUUAAGACACAACAGUUUGGCAUCAGCACCUCAGCUAUGACUAGCAUCAUAGCAAAGGUCUGCAAGCUUGUAUGCCAUCUGGCUUGCUCUUUUCAAAGUUUUUGGCUUUGCUAAAGUAUUGGCAGCCAAGCCAAGCAGGAAAUGGUCACUGAAACCAGAGCUUAAAUUUCUUGCUGGGACAACACCAAGUCAAGACAAGUGGAGAGAAAAGCAGUAGAGGUAAAAACAUAGUGACUAUACAGAUUUAAAGAAAAUGUGGGCUCUUGGCACACCAGGGAUCUCUAAAUGCUAACAUGGGCUACAGUGGUCCUCAGAACCAUGUUACGGGUUUCUGUUUUGGCUGUUUACUUUGUUUGCCUGAGAUGAAAUUCCCUUAUAAGGUUUACUUUAAAGUGAAGGUGCCUUCAAAACAGAAGAUGUACUGAUUAGCUCUCAAUCUCAGUGACAAAGCUAAAGUUUACAACUGGACAAAGAAAAUAAAUAAAAGUAGCU
ensembl:lncRNA